GAUGAACGCUGGCGGCGUGCCUAAUACAUGCAAGUCGAGCGAACAGACGAGAGUGCUUGCACUCUCUGACGUUAGCGGCGGACGGGUGAGUCACACGUGGGUAACCUACCUAUAAGUCUGGGAUAACUUCGGGAAACCGGCGCUAAUCCCGGAUAAUAUUUAGCUUCGCAUGAAGCAAUAGUGAAAGACGGUUCUGCUGUCUCUUAUAGAUGGACCCGCGGUGUAUUAGCUAGUUGGUGAGGUAACGGCUCACCAAGGCAACGAUACAUAGCCGACCUGAGAGGGUGAUCGGCCACACUGGGACUGAGACACGGCCCAGACUCCUACGGGAGGCAGCAGUAGGGAAUCUUCCGCAAUGGACGAAAGUCUGACGGAGCAAUGCCGCGUGAGUGAAGAAGGUUUUCGGAUCGUAAAACUCUGUUGUAAGGGAAGAACAAGUACGUUAGUAACUGAACGUACCUUGACGGUACCUUACCAGAAAGCCACGGCUAACUACGUG
rnacentral:rRNA from 1 species